UUAUUUCUGUACUGCACUGCAUAAUUGCUAGACGACUUAUCUAGUGCUUGGCCGUUAGUGCCCGCCUAGACGCCUACGCAACCUCUGGGUCCGUCUCGGAGUACGGCCGAACUUCGUCAUGGGUAGCUUAGUUGGGUGGCCCCCCUAGACUUUCUUGUUGAACUGGGAACGGUCUUGUUGUGAGACAUCGCCUGUAAGAAGCGGGUCGAGCAUGCGUAUGGUUACAUUUGGGCAACCCCUGCAGGGUGUACAUCUUAUCGAUAAGCCGUGUCCGCGGUUAUGGACGACUUGGAAUUGUAUAGCUUGAUCAUAGAACAACUUACACCGUUAUCUUGUUGCUAAUAAUCUGCUAAUAACUUGCGUAGUAAUAUAACAUUACUACAACUGAUACCUAAUAAAAAUUGUCCACCGUUGAAUGCCUUUUACAUUGCCUCUUCGCUUUGUUGAAGGGGAUAUGUGUAAUCGGCUGGGUUAUGUUUGUGUAGUAUUUAUCUAUUACCUUAUGCGCUCUCUUAUCUUAUCUGAGUAGACGGAUGUUGUAGCGUGUCUCUAUUGGUUAUAGUUUUGCCGCCGCUAAACCUACCAUAUAGCCCCAGGCGAUAUAUAUUUAUACUUGCCCGGCGAGCAUAGCCAUUUCUAGUCUCGCUAAGUACGUGCCGGAGUUCGUUCCUUGGUACUUACUCUCGCCUUUUCCCUUUCUCUUUUGCUUCCUCCCUUUUGUCGGCAACCGAUGGCCCAACUUUGACAGGUACAAGAUGACGACGUUAGCAAGGUUACCCUUCCGGCUUGGCCUGGGCAGGGUUAUGGACGCCACUGGUUAUCUUCAGGACUCUUAGUCCAAUUUGUAUCUUGUCCGUACUCGGACGUAUUCGAUCUUCUGUAUGAAUUGGAUCUUUGUAUUGUAUAUUUGUAUCUUGA